rnacentral:misc_RNA from 1 species
GAGAGAGAGAGAGAGUCUGAGGAAUUCCAAACUGAGAGGAAGAGAAGAGAUAUAGAGAGAAGAAAUGAGGCUAAAGGGAAGUGUGAAUUCUUUUCUUUGCUUGUUUGAAUAUUUUUGGAGUGGAGAAGUUUCAGCUUAUUCUUUGCCAAUGCUGCCUUUGGCUCUUACCUCUGGUUUUAAAUGGCUAUUCAUGUUUCUCUCUUUUAUUUAAUUCAUUGGAUUGGAUGGCCUGCUUUUGCCCUUAUGGCUUGUCUCUUCCAACUCACUCCAACUCCCAAAUUUUCCUUAUGACCAAAAUACCUCCUUUCGCUUUCUUCAAGCAAAAGCAACCUCCAAAGGGAAAUCCCACUAAUGGGUUAAAUAUUAUCUGGAUGGAUAGGGGAAGCACUGAGGAUCCAGAAAUUUGGAGCUUUUACAAUUACUGAACAGGAGGCCCAAUUUGGC